rnacentral:rRNA from 1 species
GACGGAGGAUGCAAGCGUUAUCCGGAAUGAUUGGGCGUAAAGCGUCUGCAGGUGGCAGUUCAAGUCUGCUGUCAAAGACCGGGGCUUAACUUCGGAAAGGCAGUGGAAACUGAACAGCUAGAGUAUGGUAGGGGCAGAGGGAAUUCCUGGUGUAGCGGUGAAAUGCGUAGAGAUCAGGAAGAACAUCGGUGGCGAAGGCGCUCUGCUGGACCAUAACUGACGCUGAGGUGCGAAAGCGUGGGGAGCGAACAGG